ensembl:lncRNA
UCUGAAUAUAAGCAUCCAAGGACUGAGACCCCACGUUGUCAGGGAUAAAAUUCCUUCUGCUUUGUUGUGUGGCAUCCUCAAGACAUGGCUUUUGUCUUGCAGUCCAAAGUGGCUGCUCCAGCUCCGGCCAUCACCUCCACACUCCAGAAAGGCAAAGGAGGAAAGGCAAAGGGGAAGUGAAGAGCAUGCCUUUCCACUUAAGGACAGGACCUGGAAAUACACAUUGCUUCUGCUCACAUCCCAUUGGCCACAGCUUAGUCAUAUGACCUUACUUGCUGCAAAGAAGGCUGGGAAACGUAGUCUUUCUCUGAGUAGCCACGUGUCACCCCUCAAACUCCAGGGUUCUGAUGUCCCUCAGUCUCAGGCACAAGUAUGUUGCAGGAAAGUGGAGAAAUGGAGACUUAGGCCCCCAGGCAGAUUGCCCUUCCAGAUGUGGCCCAUCCCACUGCCCAGGCCCUGAUGACCUUUGGGCUGAGGUCAGGGGUCACACAGUUCCAUUCAGACAGUUCUGGAAUGUGUGGAGAAUGGGGAGCCCAGUGCAUCGUGGGGACGCCAUCAGGCCCAGGCCAGGCCUGGGGAAGGCAGUGUCAGCACUGAGGCCCAGAGGAUGGGAGUGGGGCCGGGGGAGGACUGGUGUUCCAGGCAGAGGAACAGAGUAGGCAGACGUGGAACAGCAUGCAUUGCUGUGGUGUGUGCAGUGUCGGGAUGGAGGCCUGAGGUAGGGAGCAGGGUCCUGAGGGGGGACCCAGUGAGGGGUUUGGACUUUGAACUUCAGCUCCGAGCCGCCAGAACCGCCAUAGACAAGUGCACGGCCAGCCCGCCUGGUGGAUGUGCAGUUCAGAGGCCACUCCGGCCGGGAGAGAGAGUCCAAGCAAGGGGGCCUGCGUGGGCUUCUGGGGGCCCAGGGCACAUCCCCAGCAGGGGUGGGGUACAGGGGAGAAGGGCAUCCAGGGCUCUCAGGGGCCCAGGGCCACUUUCUCAGCACGGGUGGGGGCUUCUCAGGGGAAGGAAGCCUAGAGGCUCUCAGAGCCCUGGGACCACCUCCCCAGGUGGAGGUGAGGUGAGAGGGGCACCUAGGGUGUCAGGGCCCGGGACCACCUCCCCAGGCACGGGACAGUGUCUCUGCAGGGGUGAGCGUUGCUGAUCCCUGGACAGCAGUGCAGCCUCUCCCCUGCAUGUCUCCCCUCUUCUUCUAAGGGCGCCGGUCACUGGCCCUAGGGCCCAGCAGGUCAUCCAGAGUGACCUCCUCUCGAGAUCCUUACCUAAUUAUGUCUGCAAAGCCCUAUUUCCACUUAAGGUCACACUCAUAGGUUCCAGCUGGAUGAGGGAGCACCAUGCAACCCAGGAAACGACAAAAACAAGUUACACAGCAGUAUGCGUAGUAUGGUACCUUUUUUCUUUUUUUUUUUUAGUGAGGAAGAUUUACCCUGAGCUAACAUCCGUUGCCAAUCUUCCUCUUUUUUUGUUUUUUUGCUUGAGGAAGAUUAUCCUCGAGCUAACAUCUGUGCCAGUCUUCCUCUACUUUGUACGUGGGAUGCCACCACAGCACGGCUGACACGUGGUGAAGGUCUGUGCCCGGGAUCCAAACCCACGAACCCGGGCUGCCGAAGCAGAGCACAUGGAGCCUUAACCACUCAGCCAUGGGGCCGCAAGAAGGCGGCCGUCGGAAAGCCAGAAAGAGCUCUCACCAGGAGCCAACCCUGGUCUCGGACUUCCAGCCUCCAGACCUGUAAGAAAUAAAUGUCUGUUCUCUGAGCCCUGCAGUCUGUGGUGUUUGUCUGGCCACACAAUGGAAUAUUACUCAGUCAUGAAAAGGAGUGGCGUUCCGACACCUACCACAACACAGAUGAGCCUCCAGGACAUGAGGCCGAGUGAGGGAAGCCAGACACGACAGGCCGCACGGUCUCUGAUUCCACUGAUAUGAAAUGUCCAGAACAGGCAAAUCCGUAGAGACAGGAG